GUGGGGAAUCUUGCGCAAUGGGCGAAAGCCUGACGCAGCCAUGCCGCGUGAAUGAUGAAGGUCUUAGGAUUGUAAAAUUCUUUCACCGGGGACGAUAAUGACGGUACCCGGAGAAGAAGCCCCGGCUAACUUCGUGCCAGCAGCCGCGGUAAUACGAAGGGGGCUAGCGUUGCUCGGAAUUACUGGGCGUAAAGGGCGCGUAGGCGGACAGUUUAGUCAGAGGUGAAAGCCCAGGGCUCAACCUUGGAAUUGCCUUUGAUACUGGCUGUCUUGAGUACGGGAGAGGUGAGGGGAACUCCGAGUGUAGAGGUGAAAUUCGUAGAGAUUCGGAAGAACACCAGUGGCGAAGGCGACUCACUGGCCCGUUACUGACGCUGAGGCGCGAAAGCGUGGGGAGCAAACAGGAUUAGAUACCCGUGUAGUCC
rnacentral:rRNA from 1 species